UCAUGUUUCAUAUCGCGACGGAGCGGUUAACACGUCUGUAGUGAAGUUAGCCGUUGUUAUUGCGCAGGCGCGUAAUGUCAUAGUUUUCCCGCUGUGACGAAUCGCGUAGAACUUGAAUCAUCGUUGUUUGUGCCCGCCAGUGUUGGGCAACAGGUGGAUAAGCUGGUCUACUCUAGUUUUUAGAGUAAUUUUAUGAAAUUCUAGUCAAAAGCGAGGAGUAAUACAAGUACGAUGGGUAUCUGCUUUUCGUUCGACUGCGGCGACUGCGACAUUUGCUGCAACCCUUGUUGUAUGGCGCUGAGCGCUUGCUGCUUGGUGCCCUGUCUGUGUCCCAACGCGUGCGGACAACAGCAGCAACAGCCGCCGCAGACUGUACACGUGCACCAUCCACCAGUCAUCAUCGAGCAACAACCACCACCACCCGGAUACCCCUACCCCCCGCCCGGAGGAUACCCCGGAUAUCCCCCACAACAACCCGGUUACCCCGGAUACCCUCAGCCACGGUGAAUUUUAAUUAAGGAUGGGUUGCAACAUUUCAGUGCGGCCCUGUUGUUGCUGCUGUAUCCCGUGUUUGUGCUGCGACUGUGCCCCGCCCCGCACCGUCGUACACCACGUGGUGCAAGCGCCACAACCUGCCAUCAUCGUCAACCAACCACCUCCACCAUACAGAUAGACCUACGAUCCAAAUGGCGUGUACAAUCUGAUCAAAAAAUGGGAUAAAUAACGGCUUAGUAUCGGUUUCUUCUUCGUUGCUACUGCUAUCGAUUCAAAAACAUAUUGUUGUUAGUUUUUCAAAUAGAAUGACAGUGGAACUAUGAGCAGAGCUAGGCCAAAGAACAACCAAAGAAUACUUGCACCAGUGCUAAACAUUGCUAAUAAAGAUAAUGAAAACUUU